rnacentral:rRNA from 1 species
ACUGAGACACGGCCCAGACUCCUACGGGAGGCAGCAGUGGGGAAUAUUGCACAAUGGGCGAAAGCCUGAUGCAGCGACGCCGCGUGAGGGAUGACGGCCUUCGGGUUGUAAACCUCUUUCGACAGGGACGAAGCGUAAGUGACGGUACCUGUAGAAGAAGCACCGGCCAACUACGUGCCAGCAGCCGCGGUAAUACGUAGGGUGCGAGCGUUGUCCGGAAUUACUGGGCGUAAAGAGCUUGUAGGCGGUUUGUCGCGUCGUCCGUGAAAACUUGGGGCUCAACCCCAAGCUUGCGGGCGAUACGGGCAGACUUGAGUACUGCAGGGGAGACUGGAAUUCCUGGUGUAGCGGUGAAAUGCGCAGAUAUCAGGAGGAACACCGGUGGCGAAGGCGGGUCUCUGGGCAGUAACUGACGCUGAGAAGCGAAAGCGUGGGUAGCGAACAGGAUUAGAUACCCUGGUAGUCCACGCCGUAAACGGUGGGUACUAGGUGUGGGUUUCCUUCCACGGGAUCCGUGCCGUAGCUAACGCAUUAAGUACCCCGCCUGGGGAGUACGGCCGCAAGGCUAAAACUCAAAGGAAUUGACGGGGGCCCGCACAAGCGGCGGAGCAUGUGGAUUAAUUCGAUGCAACGCGAAGAACCUUACCUGGGUUUGACAUACACCGGAAACCUGCAGAGAUGUAGGCCCCCUUGUGGUCGGUGUACAGGUGGUGCAUGGCUGUCGUCAGCUCGUGUCGUGAGAUGUUGGGUUAAGUCCCGCAACGAGCGCAACCCUUAUCUUAUGUUGCCAGCGCGUAAUGGCGGGGACUCGUGAGAGACUGCCGGGGUCAACUCGGAGGAAGGUGGGGACGACGUCAAGUCAUCAUGCCCCUUAUGUCCAGGGCUUCACACAUGCUACAAUGGCCGGUACAGAGGGCUGCGAUACCGUGAGGUGGAGCGAAUCCCUUAAAGCCGGUCUCAGUUCGGAUCGGGGUCUGCAACUCGACCCCGUGAAGUUGGAGUCGCUAGUAAUCGCAGAUCAGCAACGCUGCGGUGAAUACGUUCCCGGGCCUUGUACACACCGCCCGUCACGUCAUGAAAGUCGGUAACACCCG